rnacentral:misc_RNA from 1 species
AACGAGGCCGACCUGCGGCUGAGUUACCUGCGGAGGGAUCAUUAAAGAUUGGCCGAGAGGCCUUAUCUCUAUAUCCCACACCUCUGUGAACCGUUGACCCUCGGGUCUAUCAUACAAACAUCAGUGUAAUGAACGUAAAUAACAUUAACAAAACAAAACUUUCAACAACGGAUCU